rnacentral:rRNA from 1 species
ACUCCUGCGGGAGGCAGCAGUGGGGAAUUUUGGACAAUGGGCGAAAGCCUGAUCCAGCAAUGCCGCGUGAGUGAAGAAGGCCUUCGGGUUGUAAAGCUCUUUUGUCAGGGAAGAAACGGUGAAAGCUAAUAUCUUUUGCUAAUGACGGUACCUGAAGAAUAAGCACCGGCUAACUACGUGCCAGCAGCCGCGGUAAUACGUAGGGUGCAAGCGUUAAUCGGAAUUACUGGGCGUAAAGCGUGCGCAGGCGGUUUUGUAAGUCUGAUGUGAAAUCCCCGGGCUCAACCUGGGAAUUGCAUUGGAGACUGCAAGGCUAGAAUCUGGCAGAGGGGGGUAGAAUUCCACGUGUAGCAGUGAAAUGCGUAGAUAUGUGGAGGAACACCGAUGGCGAAGGCAGCCCCCUGGGUCAAGAUUGACGCUCAUGCACGAAAGCGUGGGGAGCAAACAGGAUUAGAAACCCCGGUAGUCCC